rnacentral:rRNA from 1 species
GACGAACGCUGGCGGCGUGCUUAACACAUGCAAGUCGAACGGAAAGGCCCUGCUUUUGUGGGGUGCUCGAGUGGCGAACGGGUGAGUAACACGUGAGUAACCUGCCCUUGACUUUGGGAUAACUUCAGGAAACUGGGGCUAAUACCGGAUAUGAGCUCCUGCUGCAUGGUGGGGGUUGGAAAGUUUCGGCGGUUGGGGAUGGACUCGCGGCUUAUCAGCUUGUUGGUGGGGUAGUGGCUUACCAAGGCUUUGACGGGUAGCCGGCCUGAGAGGGUGACCGGCCACAUUGGGACUGAGAUACGGCCCAGACUCCUACGGGAGGCAGCAGUGGGGAAUAUUGCACAAUGGGCGGAAGCCUGAUGCAGCAACGCCGCGUGCGGGAUGACGGCCUUAGGGUUGUAAACCGCUUUCGCCUGUGAAGAAGAGUGAGUGACGGUAAUGUGUAAAGAAGCACCGGCUAACUACGUG